AUUGAACGCUGGCGGCAGGCUUAACACAUGCAAGUCGAGCGGAGCGAGGGUGCUUGCACCUUAGCUUAGCGGCGGACGGGUGAGUAAUGCUUAGGAAUCUGCCUAUUGGUGGGGGACAACAUUCCGAAAGGGAUGCUAAUACCGCAUACGCCCUACGGGGGAAAGCAGGGGAUCUUCGGACCUUGCGCUAAUAGAUGAGCCUAAGUCGGAUUAGCUAGUCGGUGGGGUAAAGGCCUACCAAGGCGACGAUCUGUAGCGGGUCUGAGAGGAUGAUCCGCCACACUGGGACUGAGACACGGGCCAGAAUCCUACGGGAGGCAGCAGUGGGGAAUAUUGGACAAUGGGCGGAAGCCUGAUCCAGCCAUGCCGCGUGUGUGAAGAAGGCCUUUUGGUUGUAAAGCACUUUAAGCGAGGAGGAGGCUACUAGUAUUAAUACUACUGGAUAGUGGACGUUACUCGCAGAAUAAGCACCGGCUAACUCUGUGCCAGCCGCCGCAGUAAUAC
rnacentral:rRNA from 1 species